UACAGAGGGUGCAAGCGUUGUUCGGAAUUAUUGGGCGUAAAGCGCGUGUAGGCGGCCUUGCAAGUCGGGUGUGAAAUCCCUCAGCUCAACUGAGGAAGUGCGCCCGAAACUGCAGAGCUUGAGUGCCGGAGAGGAUGGCGGAAUUCCCCAAGUAGAGGUGAAAUUCGUAGAUAUGGGGAGGAACACCGGUGGCGAAGGCGGCCAUCUGGACGGCAACUGACGCUGAGACGCGAAAGCGUGGGUAGCAAACAGG
rnacentral:rRNA from 1 species